rnacentral:rRNA from 1 species
GAUGAACGCUAGCGGCAGGCUUAACACAUGCAAGUCGAGGGGUAUAGUUCUUCGGAACUAGAGACCGGCGCACGGGUGCGUAACGCGUAUGCAAUCUACCUUUUGCAGAGGGAUAGCCCAGAGAAAUUUGGAUUAAUACCUCAUAGUAUGUGAGAAUGGCAUCAUUUUCACAUUAAAGUCACAACGGCACAAGAUGGGCAUGCGUCCCAUUAGCUUGUUGGUAAGGUAACGGCUUACCAAGGCAACGAUGGGUAGGGGUCCUGAGAGGGGGAUCCCCCACACUGGUACUGAGACACGGACCAGACUCCUACGGGAGCCAGCAGUGAGGAAUGUUGGACAAUGGGCGCAAGCCUGAUCCAGCCAUGCCGCGUGCAGGAUGACGGUCCUAUGGAUUGUAAACUGCUUUUGUACAGGAAGAAACACUGGUUCGUGAACCAGCUUGACGGUACUGUAAGAAUAAGGAUCGGCUAACUCCGUGCCAGCAGCCGCCGUAACAC